GCGGCCGUGGUCUAGUCUGGUUAGGACACAGUCCGUUCGGUGUAAGCCUUCCAAGCCUGCAAUCCCGGGUUCAAAUCCCGGCGGCCGCACCA
rnacentral:tRNA from 1 species